GGAGAACAGAUAUCUCAAGGCCAGGAUGGAAGAAUCACCACUAAGCCGGGCACCAUCCCGUGGUGGAGUCAACUUUCUCAAUGUAGCCCGGACCUACAUCCCCAACACCAAGGUGGAAUGUCACUACACCCUUCCCCCAGGCACCAUGCCCAGUGCCAGUGACUGGAUUGGCAUCUUCAAGGUGGAGGCUGCCUGUGUUCGGGAUUACCACACAUUUGUGUGGUCUUCCGUGCCUGAAAGUACAGCUGAUGGUUCCCCCAUUCACACCAGUGUCCAGUUCCAAGCCAGCUACCUGCCCAAACCAGGAGCUCAGCUCUACCAGUUCCGAUAUGUGAACCGCCAAGGCCGGGUGUGUGGGCAGAGCCCCCCUUUCCAGUUCCGAGAGCCAAGGCCCAUGGAUGAACUGGUGACCCUGGAGGAGGCUGAUGGGGGCUCUGACAUCCUGCUGGUUGUCCCCAAGGCAACUGUGUUACAGUCUUGCUCUGUCACCCAGGAAGAUGUUUAUAUCUCACAACCAGCUCGAUGAGAGCCA
rnacentral:sRNA from 1 species